rnacentral:rRNA from 1 species
GACGAACGCUGGCGGCGUGCUUAACACAUGCAAGUCGAACGAAGUGGCGAACGGGUGAGUAACGCGUAAUCAACCUGCCCUUCAGAGGGGGACAACAGUAGGACACGAGUGCUAAUACCGCAUACGGAAGGAGGGGAUUGCGUCUGAUUAGCUAGUUGGAGGGGUAACGGCCCACCAAGGCAAUGAUCAGUAGCCCGUCUGAGAGGAUGAACGGCCACAGUGGGACUGGGACACGGCCCAGACUCCUACGGGAGGCAGCAGUGGGGAAUCUUCCGCAAUGGACGAAAGUCUGACGGAGCAACGCCGCGGGAGUGAUGAAGGGCUUCGGGUUGUAAAGCUCUGUUAAUCGGGACGCGGUACCGGAAUAGAAAGCCACGGCUAACUACGUGCCAGCCGCCGCGGUAAUUC